rnacentral:rRNA from 1 species
CGCCUGUUUAUCAAAAACAUGUCUUUUUGUUAGUUGUUUAAGGUUUGGCCUGCUCCAUGAGUGUUAAAUAGCCGCAGUAUUUUGACUGAGCAAAGGUAGCAUAAUCAUUAGUUUUUUAAUUGAAAGCUGGAAUGAAUGGCUGGAUGAGGAAAUAACUGUCUCAUGUUAAUUUAAAUAGAAUUUUAUUUUUAAGUAAAAAAGCUUAGAUUUUAUAAAAAGACGAGAAGACCCUAUAGAGUUUAAUAGGUAGUAUAUAUAGGAAAUUUCAGGGUUUUAUUUUUUUUAUAUUUAUACUUAUUUUGUUGGGGUGACAUAGAAUUGAAUGGAACUUCUCUAUAUAAGUACAUUGAUUGAUGAACAUAUGAUCCUUUCAUAAAGAUUAAAAGAUUAAAUUACCUUAGGGAUAACAGCGUAAUUUUUUCAGAGAGUUCUUAUCAAUGAAAAAGGUUGCGACCUCGAUGCCGGAUUAAAGUAAAUUCUUGGUGCAGAAGCUGAGAUAUUGAGUCUGUUCGACUUUUGAAACUUUCGUGAUCUGAGUUUAGACCCG